UCAAAAAAUUUCGGAUCUCCCGUAAUUACCGCAAACUACAAACAUGACGUAUGAUUUGAAUACUGUGUAUAUAUUCUUUAAUGACACAUACCUGUAACUCCAAAGUUUACGUGUGAGGGCGUAGUUGACGAGAAUUGUAAGAUGGCGAUCGAAGUUCACGUCAAGCCUGCGCAAUGGAGCUUUGUCAUGAGCAGGAGUGAUAAGACGUAAUAUUAACUGUAGUAAUCAUGUGCAGUAAUAAGACUGCCUUUGUUGGGUCCAAGGUUACUGAAAAGCACGUUAAUUUGUUGUUUUUGUCAGUAUAUUUCAAUUCUAAUAAGAAAUGACAGAAGAAAGAAAGAAAAUCACAAGCUGUAGCACCUAAUCCAUAUGAACACGUCGAGAGCUAAUUGCAACAGUGGGAGCAAGUUUGUUCCUCCGCCAGCCACGCAGCCAGCACCAGCUGGGAGCAAUUACCUCUCGCUGUGGACACGACAUAUGCGACAUGCCUCACCACAAUGUACCGUGAGAUACUUAUAUCCACACCAAAAACUUAAGAGUACUUCUAUACAGAAGUGAUAGUACGAUGUAAAGUGUAUUUCAAUUCAAAUUUUGUUAAUUUCCCUUCUUUUUUUCGCCACACAAAAGUUAGAAUUUCAAUCGACAGCAUGUGAAAAUAAAAAUCUAACAAUGACUCAAACUCAAUAUGAUGCAGUUUUGAAGA